rnacentral:rRNA from 1 species
AGGACGAACGCUGGCGGCGUGCUUAACACAUGCAAGUCGAGCGGUAAGGCUCCUUCGGGAGUACACGAGCGGCGAACGGGUGAGUAACACGUGAGCAAUCUGCCCUUCUCUUCGGAAUAACCAUUGGAAACGAUGGCUAAUGCCGAAUACGACCUCCUUUCGCAUGAUCGGAGGUGGAAAGCUCCGGCGGAGAAGGAUGAGCUCGCGGCCUAUCAGCUAGUUGGCGGGUAACGGCCC